UACGUAGGGUGCAAGCGUUGUCCGGAAUUAUUGGGCGUAAAGAGCUCGUAGGCGGCUCGUCACGUCGGCUGUGAAAACCCGGGGCUCAACCCCGGGCCUGCAGUCGAUACGGGCGAGCUAGAGUUCGGCAGGGGAGACUGGAAUUCCUGGUGUAGCGGUGAAAUGCGCAGAUAUCAGGAAGAACACCCGUGGCGAAGGCGGCUCUCUGGGACGGUACUGACGCUGAGACGCGAAAGCGUGGGGAGCGAACAGG
rnacentral:rRNA from 1 species